CCAAAUAUGAGUGCAGCAUGAGUGCAGUUUGAAAUUUUGGUUUUAAAGGAACUGCACUUAUUUGCCCAAAUUCAUCUGGGGAUUAUAUGAGUGCAGAAUUCGCUUCUCAUGGCUGCCUUAUGUCCAACAUUGCUCAGGAAUUCUAAGAAACCAAAAAAUCAGUUGAGUUUUGAAGUCAAGUCAGUGGUUAGAAUCAAUGCAGUUUUGAAAGGUUCAGUCUACCAUCUUGAUUCCAAACGCUGCCCAAGUAUAUCUGAACAUAGAUUAAAUCCUGCCCCUUGAGCUUCCAUAAGAAUUUCUGUUCAUGCUGUUCCUGUUGUUAUGUUUGCGCUAUUGCUCUGUUGCCAAUCUCCAUACCUUGGUCUCCAUAGGGCGGUGGAGGCCCACCGGGAGUUGCUGGGGAGCGUGGCCGGCUGGGUCCUCUUGGGAAAAAGGGCGAACCUGGCAAUCCUGGUCCAAAGGGUCCCAAUGGUCCCACUGGGCCCCGAGGAGAGACGGGAGAUGAUGGACGAGAUGGAGUUGGCAGGGCAGGAGCUAAAGGCAGAAAGGGAGAGCCUGGUUUCCCAGGAUAUCCAGGAAUAAGGGGUGCGCCUGGAGAUAAUGGUGGCGUUGGAGAUCCUGGCCCCAAAGGAAGCAGAGGUCUCAGGGUAAUGUAGCUUCCUGUGUUUGAUAGUGGAAGAUUAAACUGAGAGCCUGCUUGGUUCAUGUUCUUCUACAAAUCAUUUUCUUUAUUCCCAGUUUCAUCCUGUUGCAACUACUUGCAUAGUUGUAUUCAGUGCCUUUUUUGGGUAAAAAAAAAGUCCCAGUACUCAUAUAUUCAUGAAAGUGCUGUAGGUGCCAGCACAAAAUCGGUCUCAGACCACCAAAAUGAUCAGUUCCAAGGCAAAGAUCAGCUUCCACUUCCAGUGUACUAGAGAAGAGAUCUGUAAUAAACUCUGAGUGGGCCAACUGCAGCCAAACACAUCAUAGAGUUAGACUCAAAUGUGACCUGCUUGUGGAAGGUGCUUUCUGUUCAUAGUAGUGCUGUUUUACAGCUCAUGCUAGAGCAUAAAUCUAAAUAAGUGUUCACGUACUUGUGCAAAAACUUGUGCAAGCUGUAUUCGAAGCUGUUACUGCACUGCAGAAACAUUUGCAAGUGCUACUGGCUGUUUGUUUUUCACACACUAUUUAUGGAUCCAACCUAUUCUGCACAAACACACUGGAGUCUGCAUAGUGUACAUGAACAAAAAUGUUAUUUAAACCAUUUAUAUGCUUUUUUUUUGCCAACUUGUCCUCAAGGCAGCUUACAACACUUGCUUAAAAUACAGAUCAUUUCAGCAUAAGUAAGUCCAAAUCAUCAGGUAAUAAAAGAGCCCCUACAACAGUUAACUAGUAUAAACUUCCAAAUGAAAUUAAAUGCUCUCAAAUGUUUGGGUAACUUGUUGGAGAGCGGAUUUCUGUUGAACGUCCAGGCAGAUGGGGUGAGGAAUUUCAGAACCCUCACGGCCUCCUCCCUAUCUCUCAGCAAGUGAUGGGAGGUCAGGGCAGCCCCACGGACCAGGGCAGGGCAGAAAUAAUGGUGAGGGGAGGGUCUGCAGGUAAGCCAGGUAGAAUCAUGCUGGCUCUGUUUACAUUAAUUCGAACCUCUCCAGGUAAACAACCCACAGCAGAUACGAUUAACGUAAAAGGGCAGAUGUGUGGGAUUUGGAUCAAGCACGUUUACUCUUGUUUGCCUUUUCCUGUUUAGGGAAGUGCAGGGGCACCUGGCGUACGAGGCCAAAAAGGAGAGAAUGGAUAUCCCGGGCCAGAGGUAAGUUUGCGAUACACACAUUACUGAUCUGACAUGUUGAUUUUGCUGAAGAGUCUAGAAUACUUUUCCAUUUCUUUCUAUACUGAGCUUACUAUUAAACUCACAUACCAUACUUCAUCUCUGUUAAUC
ensembl:lncRNA